rnacentral:rRNA from 1 species
CAGUAGCCGCGGGAAUACGAAGGGGGCUAGCGUUGUUCGGAUUUACUGGGCGUAAAGCGCACGUAGGCGGACUUUUAAGUCAGGGGUGAAAUCCCGGGGCUCAACCCCGGAACUGCCUUUGAUACUGGAAGUCUUGAGUAUGGUAGAGGUGAGUGGAAUUCCGAGUGUAGAGGUGAAAUUCGUAGAUAUUCGGAGGAACACCAGUGGCGAAGGCGGCCCCCUGGACAAAGACUGACGCUCAGGUGCGAAAGCGUGGGGAGCAAACAGGAUUAGAGACCCCAGUAGUCCCUGUCUCUUAUAC